rnacentral:rRNA from 1 species
GACGUAGGGCGCGAGCGUUGUCCGGAUUUAUUGGGCGUAAAGCGCACGUAGGCGGCUUUGCAAGUCGGAUGUGAAAUCCCUCGGCUCAACCAAGGAAGUGCAUCCGAAACUGCAGAGCUUGAGUACUUAAGAGGAUCGCGGAAUUCCCGGUGUAGAGGUGAAAUUCGUAGAUAUCGGGAGGAACACCGGUGGCGAAGGCGGCGACCUGGGUAGAUACUGACGCUGAGGCGCGAAAGCGUGGGGAGCAAACAGGG